UUAGUAGGCGUUGUGGGAAGGG
rnacentral:miRNA from 2 species